AAAUUCACCCGAAAACAAAUUUUUGUUAAGAAAUGAAGGAAGGAUACCACAUAUAUAAUGAAUCAACUACUGAAAUUGAAAUCACAAACAAAAUAAAGGAAAGGAGACGAAUGUGUUGUGUAAUCGUGUAAAGGAAAAGAAAUUUUACAAGUAUUAAAUACAACUGUUUUUAAUUAUUCUCAUUAAUUGACUUAUUUUUAACUUUAAUUGAGAGAAUCCAUUUAUUUAUUGC
rnacentral:lncRNA from 1 species